CUUAAAUCAUUGUUUUAUACAAUAUACAAUGUAUAUUCACUUUUACUACCAACUGAUAGAUUAAAACAAUCUUUACCAUUCAGUGAUCAGCACUUUUUAUGAUGUAUUUAAAUGAGUAGUUAUUGUUGCAAACUUCAUUAGAAAUUUGAAUUGAGAUCAGUUUUGAAAUAAGGGAAAGAGGGAUGUGAAAAAAAAAUUGGAGGGUCAAUUUUUUUCAUUUCAGAUUUCAUAAAUAAAAAGAAAAUUUCUUCAAACAUUUUUUUGAGAGGAUUAAUAUUCAACAGCAUAGUGAAUUGCUCAAAGGCAAACAUUUUUUUUAAGUUCAUUAGACCACAUUCAUUCUGUGUCAGAAACCUAUGCUGUGUCAACUAUUUAAUCACAAUCCAAAUUUAGAGCUGAAUCCAGCUUGAAUGUUGUGUCCAUACUUGCCCCAACCGUUCAGGGUUCAACCUCUGCGGUCGUAUAAAGCUGCGCCCUGCGGAGCAUCUGGUUUUUAUUACAUCAAAAAACUAUUUGCUUGUUAAAAUUGGUUAGAAUUUGUUGCAAAGUUUUGAAAUCCAAAUAUGUGAGUGAGUAGACUAAAUACACUUAGUUUUUACCUUAAUAGGUUAUUGUAAAAGAAUGUUAUUUAAGAAUUGAAUGCUGCUUUUUGUAAAAUUAUUGGGGUGUAAAAGCGUUGACCGAAGUACAUUUUGUAUGAAGCGCGGAUUACUAAAAAUGUGCGCACGGUCAAUGCUUUUACAACCCUAUAAAGUUACAAAAAGAAGCAUUCAAUACUUAUAAUUACAUUUUUUUAGCUAGAAUCAUGAAAACACGAUUUUUAUUACGUUUCCAUUUAAUUCACCUGUGCACUUUAUUGUGGGACCUGGUGUCAUCAUGAAUGAUAAAUUUUAUUGUCUAAUGCAAUUGUUUCAGGAAUAGCACGUGAUGUGCAGAAAGCCAAUCAGAAUAACGUAUUAUAAUGUAACAUACGUCUAAUGUAAUUAUACUGUUAUGGAGGUUUUAGCCUUAUUACUGGUUAUUUCAAAAAUAAGGGAAACACAUAUUUUAUUCAUGUGGGACAAGGAUCUUCUCAUUAUAACAUAUAAAAAGGAUGUUAGAUGUAAAAACUUCUGAUAUUUGCAUGCAGAACUCAUUACUGUAAACAGGGAAAUUUUUGUAGCAGUUCUAUUUUGCUUUUUGCACAAAACAGUUGCUACUUAAAAAUUAAACUAUCACAAAUAUUUCAUGGGAACUGAAUUCAUAGGACCAAGAAUGAAAAUUAAAAACCACCAUAAAUCUUGAAAAUGAAGGCCAUGCCAGUUAAGAACCAAUCAGCAAAUUGUAAUGAAAGACGACAUGAAAAAUUCCAGAUUAACAGUACAAUAAAAAUUAUUCAUGUGUUAACCUAUUUCCAUUGGAAACCAACAAUUCUGUUUUGUGAAGAAUUGUAUUAUCAUCAUGUGUUGAACCGAAAUUGAUCAGGUCAAACAUGUGUGAAUUUAUACUGAGGUAAUCCAAAGCAACUGUUUUACCAAAGCAAUUGUUAAUUGGUUCAAUAUUUAACAAAGGAUAAAAAAAAGUUUUUAAAAAAAAUCAAAAUUGAAUUGACCACAUGAAGAAAAGUAUUUAAAAAUUCUUAUAAUUAUUUUUGACUAUUUUGAUAUUGUGAUUAUUUUGUACCGGAUACUUAUAGUACUAUAGUAUUUUUGUUAUUAGUUUUAUAUAUGUAUUGAAAAUACACAUUUUAUUUUAUGAUUGUGAUAAUAAUUAUAAUGAUAUUUUCCUAGUCAUCUGUUAUAUGAGA
rnacentral:lncRNA from 1 species